UGGAUCACCUCCUAACAGAGAGACAAACAAUGAUUUUGAUGCAUCAUUAUUUUUAUUAACAGGCUGCAAUCCUGUAAAUAAAGUUCUAUCUGUUAUCUUUGCAGGAAGAAAGACUGAACUCCAAUCACUGAGCUCAAUAAGAGAGGAUUGUUAGUGAGUCUUGGGUUAUGUCGCUCACGCCCCACGAGGGAUGACCCUCCUGCCCCACUUGCGGGGGUGGAUAGAGCGCCCCCGCGAUAAGGGGGGGGUCCCUGGUUCAACUCCAGGGUGCCCCAUUCGGUGUUGGGGGUUUACCCCAGUUGGUAGAGCGCUUUUUUAACAAGCAGGAUGUCAGGUGUUGGAGUCUCCUAACCUCCACUGACCGAUCUCAAUCCUCAAUGUCCAGUCAUGGAGUUUUGAGUUCAGUUGGAGUGUGAUUUAGAUGUGUCCGCUAGAGGAACCCAGCUUCCUGUCAUUCCAGCGAUAGAGAGAAAUCUAUCGAUGGUUGAUAAGAUGCUGGGCUCGAAUCAGGUGAUCAAGCAAUUGAUGAUUUGAUUUGAAGUCUGGCAGAACCUUGACAACUGCAUAGGUGAGUCUGGAAAGAAUAAAGCAUCUCAUGGAUGAUGCGAUGACUCUGAAUGAUGACCCGAAAGGGUGAUGAUGAGGAGUGAUUGCAAAUUCUAUCGAGCAAGAGCCGAGACUCCAUCACGUUCUUCUUAUUGUGUCGAGCAAUGAGGAGUUAGAUCUUUGAUUCGGCAAUGAAUCAGAGAGAAUCUGUUUCAACGACAGCAGGAUUUCGAGAUACAUUGGUCAAGCUACGAAUGACUCACGGUGGAUACCUUCGCGCACAGAGGCGAUGAA
rnacentral:misc_RNA from 1 species